GCAGCCGUGGCCUACUGGUUAGGGCUUCAGACUUGGAACCAGAGGGUUGCCGGUUCAAACCCUGACCUGUGGGA
rnacentral:tRNA from 1 species